GACUCCGAUGUACCUGGACAGUCUUCUUGAUUCGAUGCGAAGGUCCGGGAUACUCUGAUGAGUACAGAUCGGUGAGGAAGAGGGAGUUGAUCAGCGUGGAUUUGCCCAACCCCGAUUCACCUGGAGGAAGAGCAGCAAAGAUCGGCGUGGGGGCGACACACCGGCACCAGGAAGCAAAGAGAAGAGAGCGAAAAAAUGAGCAUCAGAGCACAUGACAAACAUACAACAGGAGACAUUUGACCCACGCGCUGUGUUUCACAACAUGCACUCCCCUUUAUGUGAUGAAGAAAAAGACUAUUUAUUUCAGUGUUUGCCUGGGGCGCCGAGGCAAAAGAAGAGCAUCUCUUCCCUGUGCUGCAGCUCGGCGGAUUGGUCAUUAACAAACGUAUUUUUCUUAUCGCAGACAUUUCCCUCACGAGUAACCGACAUCUGAUAUAUCUGCAAGAGGAACAAACUGCUGUGUCCACUCAUUCCAAUUGGGGAAGGACAAUGCAAUUUCCAAAAUAUGUCCACUCAUUCCAAUAGGGGAAGGACAAUGCAAUUUCAAAAAUAAUCUAAUUACGAUUAAACAUCAAUAUUCUGAUUGUGAUUUAUGAAGCAAUUAUUUUCGGCCCAUUUUGUUAUUUUCCCGUGUGCUUUUUUUUUCUUUUUUAGCAAACACAAGAUGUUGUUUGGUUAAAUUCACAAUGUGGAAUUCUUUUAGUUUGAUGUUUUAUUUGACAGUAAACUUCAACUGGAAGUGACAAUCAACAACUUGAGUGUCUGCUCUUUGAAGAAUUGUUUACCAAGCGCCCGAUUUAUUCUCGUGGUGAAGCGAAUUGAGUUUGCUGCUGCCAGCUAGCGUUUGCCUCUCAAAUUCUUCCAGCCAAGUAAAAAAAAAGAAGAUAAUUGGCAGAGUAACAGCUCGUGUCUUGGAAAACUUGUAAAUCAGGUCACUCGUAACUCAAGCUGCCAACGUAUAGUAGUUAUCUGCGUUCCAUUUCUUUUCCUUGACUUUGUUUUCUUCAAUUUACUGGUGGGAAAAUAACAAUGUUGCAUUUCAUCUCAGUGACAAAUGAUUUAUGACAAAUUGAUUUAUGAGGAUACCACAGACCCAUAAAGAUGAACGUACGUUCAGGAAAAGUCAUUAUACUGUACUAACUAGUUAUUGAUUCACAGGACACUUAAUACACAGGCUGCAAUAGUCUUAGACCAGUGAU